rnacentral:lncRNA from 1 species
UCCUUCUGAAAUAAACUUAUCAUCCCAGAUUCUUGUAUAAUUAAGCUGAUCGAGAUACAACAGUAAAGUUCGAACCGAAAAUAUAAAAAGACGGCGAAGAGGUCAUGCAACAAAAUCUCCUCCAGGAAAAAUUACCAACGGCAAAAAUGUAAGGGGCGAAAAUGUCAGCAACAUUAGAACCAAGAAACCUUAAAGAUAGCCAAUUAAAAAUAUUUUACUUUUAUUUAGGUUGUUUAUGUUAAAAUUCUAAACUAAAACGAUCUAGUAUAAUGUGUAAAUUUCUAUUCUAAAACCUCAUUGUGUAUAACAUUUUUUUGUUGUUUUUUGUCCAUUUGAUAUAAAUAUAAUCCAACCUACACCCCCUUAUGACACUCUUGAAAAUCCAACAUAAAUUGUCAAUGUAAAAAUACUGAUUAUGGUAAAUAUAAAGCCAUUUUUUCUAA